rnacentral:SRP_RNA from 1 species
GUGUGGACUAGGCUGGGGGGUUAGGCGUCUCCUGUAACCGGAAAUCGCCUUUGCCGGAGCCGAAGCCUCGAGGGCGGCGCACCUGCUACGUCGCGAUCCAGCACUGGACAAUGAUUCCUCGUCCCCUGGGACCAAGGGUGAUGCCUUCAUUGAUCGGAGGGUCAAUGGGGGUAUCUUAGUCCUGGGUAAAGGGUCAGGCCCGGAAGGGAGCAGCCCAACCAGGAACUAUUGGUGCUCAGGGGGGCGCGGGGUUGAGAAGAGUGUUGGAGGAAUCGUGGCGUGGCUUAUGCGUCCACCUUGGGCGUGUCCAUGC